rnacentral:rRNA from 1 species
GUACACACCGCCCGUCGCUACUACCGAUUGAACGGCUUAGUGAGUCCUUUGGAUUGUUGGAAACUGAUUGGCAACAGUCGGUUUCUGACGAGAAGUUGGGCAAACUUGGUCGUUUAGAGGAAGUAAAAGUCGUAACAAGGUUUCCGUAGGUGAACCUGCGGAAGGAUCAUUACCAAGAGAAAUCUUUCAACACUGAAAGAUCUUUUCCUUUGUGCUGGCUUUGACCGUAUGUAAUUUUGGGACUUUAAAAUGGUUCGCAAGGGCCGGUCCCAAAAACAAUAUAUCAUCCUUAUGAAAUUUUUUCUGAACAAUUAAACAAAAUGAUUUUAAUAAUCUGUUUAAAACAACUUUCAACAACGGAUCUCUUGGUUCUCGCAUCGAUGAAGAACGCAGCGAAAUGCGAUACGUAAUGUGAAUUGCAGAAUUCAGUGAAUCAUCGAAUCUUUGAACGCACAUUGCACUCCUUGGUAUUCCGAGGAGUAUGCCUGUUUCAGUAUCAUGAGCACUCUCACACCUAACCUUUGGGUUUAUGGCGUGGAAUUGGAAUGCGCCGACUGUCAUGGUUGGCCCUUCUAAAAUGUAGUUCUUGGCUGUCACCUAAUACAGCAGUUUGGCCUAAUAGUUUUGGCAUUCAUUGUCAAAUCUUUGGCUAACAUUUGCUCCAGGAGUCAGUCUUGAUAAUACAGAAAACUCAUUCAAAUUUUGAUCUGAAAUCAGGUAGGGCUACCCGCUGAACUUAAGCAUAUCAAUAAGCGGAGGAAAAGAAACCAACC